GUGUCCUUGUGGCUUCGACGCCAAAUUCCUCUUGCCCUCCUCUGUUCUUGCUUCCUUUCUCUGAAUUCUACUUCCGCUACCUCUGGUAUCUAACAUGCAGGUGCAGGGGCCGCCGCCGGAGGUGCCGUUCCGCCCGACGCAAGAUCGAGAUCAGGCCGCGAGGACAUCGACGGCACUCAUCCUUGCGACAUCCCAGGAUCACAAGAAUUGGGUGCGGGGCCGGCCAACCAGAUAGGCCAGGGCGUCGCACCAUCGCCGUGGCGGUACUGCUGCGCUGGAUUGCCUCCUGAAACAUUGAUUUCCUGCCGCCGUCAAAUUACUGCGAUUCAUUCUGAGCUGGCACCGCUGUUACCUCCACCUGGAAACUGGUCCUCUAGGUCAGUCACAAAGGUCAGUCGAUGUGUUAUUUGCAUGUGAGAUUUGAUAUUGCAUCAUGAUCAAUGCAGUGUCCAGAUUUUUCUAACGAGGUCACGUAGGGACUUCUUGUUAUUAGCGAUGGGAGGUCACAUAGUUCUUCUAGGUGAACAUUCUAUCUCAAUGACAACAUUAAUUGGAGAGAACAAGGAGGGAAUAAGGUGACCAAUCCCUACAUUAGCGAGAAAUCUGUACAAAUCUGUUCUAACAUUCAAUCACACUUUCAUUAAUCAAUAAUGCUACAUCUCUGGUACUUCACUGGUCCAGAUUGUUCAUUCAAGUGCCUUUAAAUUGGUCUACUCUGAAAUGCAUGUGAAAUCAGUUCUGAGUAUAAUCAUGAGUCAUGAUUUUUCCCUAACAGUCCAUAUUAUGUCAAGAGUUUUACCCUGAUGUGCUAAUAGCAUGCAAUCCUGCCUUUUAAGGACAUCAUGUAUAGUGCAUAUAGGUGCUCCUGAAGCCCCGUUGCCCAUCCGAAAGCCCCUAAAGCUGAGAUAGUGUGGCAGAAUGUUCAAGGGGCGUGUAUCUUUUGAGCGUGUAGGUGCUCCUAGAUUAUAGUGCUAUAGGUGGUUCUGAAUUUAGUAUAUAUCUGAGGCAAAUGCACUUGAGAAUAUUAUAGUUCCUCUUUGGUUUUUGAUCAUGUCUGGAUCUCAUCUUGAUCUUAUUUUCACCGAGGGCUAAAUAUUCAAAGUUAUCAAAUGAGUGUUCAGAAAUAUUGUCAUUAUAUGAAUGUUCUGAAGAUAUCUAUGCGCACCCACCUCCACAUGUUGUGGCGUCACUGUCGGGACCACCAUACAGCAAUGGAAGGAGGAGGACAACGCCGUGCAAGGAAUGAUGGUGCUUAGCGGAUCAUCGGAGAUGGUGAACAAACGCUAGCGCUGGGAUGAUGGAGAAGUAGCAGCCCACCAUGAUCUACCAGGCAUUUAGGAGGGAUGCCCAUGUGAAUGGAUUUUCAUGAUCUUUUCGGUCGCAAAUUUGAAGUGGUGUGUACCCUGGUUAUUUACUUCAAUAGAAGCUAAAUCAUCAUGUCCAAUGCUCUAGGAGUUGGAUACAUUACCACUGCUAUGGACGCCUUCAUCAGACGACAUUCAUGCGUGUUCACCUGCGGUCGCAGCGGUAUGGAGGUAAUACGAAAAUCAUGUUUUUUUUAAUUUUUGUUCAUGCCCUCCUGUACUCAUGUCUGUACAUAAAGUGGAAUAAGUACUACAUCGAUUUUUGUCCGGCAUUGCAGCAUGGUUGGACAGAUAAAAAUAUUUUUCAUCUCUUCUACUAAAUACAUUUCUAAUAACCAACAAGAUUAUUAUCCCAAUUCUCAUCAAACCAUUCAUGUUGUUUCAAACCAACACAAUUAUUGUUCACUUUCCUGGAGCUACGGUUAUUGUGUGUUCAUGCUCUGGGCUGGAGGGAUGCUAGAGGCCAAAACUAUUUGUUUUUGUAGUUUUUCUGUAGUUUCUUGCUCUUUUGUGCUUCUUCCUUUUGUAAGACCUGUUAUUUGUUUUUUUGGGUUUCAAAGCUCGUGCUUUGAUCUUGUAAUUUUAAUCUUGUAAAUAUAAAUAUUAUAUAUUAUGUGAUUUAUGCAAUAAAAGGUGUACAAUCAGUUA